rnacentral:rRNA from 1 species
UACGUAGGUGGCAAGCGUUGUCCGGAUUUACUGGGCGUAAAGAGCGCGCAGGCGGUCGGAUAAGUCGAAUGUGAAAGCCCCCGGCUCAACUGGGGAGGGUCAUUCAAUACUGUUCGACUCGAAGGCAGGAGAGGGAAGUGGAAUUCCCGGUGUAGUGGUGAAAUGCGUAGAUAUCGGGAGGAACAUCAGUGGCGAAGGCGGCCCUCUGGUCCAGUACUGACACUCAAGUGCGAAAGCGUGGGGAGCAAACAGG